rnacentral:rRNA from 1 species
AAUACGAAGGGUGCAAGCGUUAAUCGGAAUUACUGGGCGUAAAGCGCGCGUAGGUGGCUUGAUAAGUUGGAUGUGAAAUCCCCGGGCUCAACCUGGGAACUGCAUCCAAAACUGUCUGGCUAGAGUGUGGUAGAGGGUAGUGGAAUUUCCAGUGUAGCGGUGAAAUGCGUAGAUGUUGGAAGGAACACCAGUGGCGAAGGCGACUACCUGGACUAACACUGACACUGAGGUGCGAAAGCGUGGGGAGCAAACAG